AAGCACCCUGUGGAUGUUGACUGUAAUUUUCCCCCUGGGGAAAAAGAAGUAAUUCACUUCCAGAGGAUUUGCCUGGAGGAGCCACAGACAGGCAAAGUCCAAACCUGUCAGCUACUGUAUUCCCUCUCUCCCCAACCCAAGCUGGCCACAGAAUAAGGGUAUAGGGUCUGCCUUUCCUUGCACCACCUGGACCCUUCUCUGCCUGGGCCUCCACCAACAAAGGGCUCAGGAGGUGAGACCCUGGUCCACACCCGCCAACCCUGUAGGCCAGGUUUAUAGCGUGGACAGCGCUGCCCUCUAGUGUUUGCAACCGGGAGCCCUGAGGGCGCCAUCAGCUUCAGAAUUUCUCUUUUACAGGCUAAGCAAGAUCUGAAGCACCUCAGAGCUCCGACCUCCAAGUUCUCCUCCACCGCCACCGCCCUCAUCGCACCCUGGCUCACCUUUUCAUCCCACCCACCCCCUUCGCUGUUCAGUGGUGUCCUGCGCGCCUGCAAACCUGCCUGGUGAUUUAGUAAACUGCUCCCUGCUCGUGUUCCUGUUCCUGCUCCUGCUCCUCCUCCUCCUCCACCUCCUCCUGCCAGCUCUCGCUCACGCCUCCUCUUCCAGUCGGGGCACCCAGACUUCGCAAAGCGCAGCGCCUGCCGCCUGCAGCGCCACGGGGCAGCCCAGCGCAUCGCGCUCCCAGCUCCUUCUGGCCGCAGCCAGGGGGCACGGGCGCUGGCAAAGGACUCUCGAGGGCCCAACGCCCCUGGACUCAGCGUGCUCCAGAGCUGGGUGUUGAGAGAAGCUGUGCUUUCACAAAGCUCGGGAGAGAACGGAGCGCGUUCGGUGUGAGACUUGGGGAGCCAGCGGGACGCCCCAGGUCGCCCAGUACGACGCGGCUGCACGCACCGUCCACAAGGAACCCUCCAUUCAGAAGAAAUGCUGUGGUGCUUCCUUUUACCCCAUACAAAAUGGAACAUAAGAAACUACAAAGCUGAACAAACUACAAUCUUCUUAUAAAUGAGAGGCACUGAAGUCUGAGCAGUUUCCAGCUGAGGGAAAAUAACCAACAGCUUCUCCACAGUG
rnacentral:lncRNA from 1 species